AGAUUGAACGCUGGCGGCAUGCCUUACACAUGCAAGUCGAACGGCAGCACGGGAGCAAUCCUGGUGGCGAGUGGCGAACGGGUGAGUAAUAUAUCGGAACGUGCCCAGUCGUGGGGGAUAACGCAGCGAAAGCUGUGCUAAUACCGCAUACGAUCUCUGGAUGAAAGCGGGGGACUCGCAAGAGCCUCGCGCGAUUGGAGCGGCCGAUAUCAGAUUAGCUAGUUGGUGGGGUAAAAGCCCACCAAGGCGACGAUCUGUAGCUGGUCUGAGAGGACGACCAGCCACACUGGAACUGAGACACGGUCCAGACUCCUACGGGAGGCAGCAGUGGGGAAUUUUGGACAAUGGGCGAAAGCCUGAUCCAGCAAUGCCGCGUGCAGGAUGAAGGCCUUCGGGUUAGUAAACGUGUCGUUUUUGUAACGGAACGAAACGGUCUGCCUUAAGUACGGUGGACUAAGUGACGGUAACGUAAGAAUAAGCACCGGACUAACGUACGU
rnacentral:rRNA from 1 species